AUAUUCUGUAGUUCAUGAGUGUGAUGAUUGGGUAUUGACAUGCUUGUGUGACAUGUGCCUCCCUUGAACCUUGUUACAACAUUGGCACACUACCUGGCUGACA
rnacentral:snoRNA from 1 species